GACGAACGCUGGCGGCGUGCCUAAUACAUGCCAGUUGAGCGCUGAAGGUUGGUACUUGUACCAACUGGAUGAGCAGCGAACGGGUGAGUAACGCGUGGGGAAUCUGCCUUUGAGCGGGGGACAACAUUUGGAAACGAAUGCUAAUACCGCAUAAAAACUUUAAACACAAGUUUUAAGUUUGAAAGAUGCAAUUGCAUCACUCAAAGAUGAUCCCGCGUUGUAUUAGCUAGUUGGUGAGGUAAAGGCUCACCAAGGCGAUGAUACAUAGCCGACCUGAGAGGGUGAUCGGCCACAUUGGGACUGAGACACGGCCCAAACUCCUACGGGAGGCAGCAGUAGGGAAUCUUCGGCAAUGGACGAAAGUCUGACCGAGCAACGCCGCGUGAGUGAAGAAGGUUUUCGGAUCGUAAAACUCUGUUGGUAGAGAAGAACGUUGGUGAGAGUGGGAAGCUCAUCAAGUGACGGUAACUACCCAGAAAGGGACGGCUAACUACGUG
rnacentral:rRNA from 1 species